rnacentral:misc_RNA from 1 species
AACUAUUGUUACGACAACGCUUGCACUAGUGCAAGGCUGGGGUACCCCUUGGUUUGUGGCUCCAGUGCAUGUGACCCUGUACCUUCUCCCACAUGCAGCCUUGUUGUUCCAUAAGGCAUCACUUGCUGCCGCUAUCAUCACUCCCUUGUUCUCAUAUCCAUAACACGAAGAGGGGACGUAAGGCGGAGUGUAGAAAGUAGCAGUCCCUUCAUCAGCGUAAGCAACUGAGACAAGGCAUCCUGCGAUGCUCAACAUGAUCGCUGCUUGCAUAGCCAUUCCCAUGAUUUUCAUUAUGUUUUCUCUCGUUAAGACGGUAUUCUAGAUUAGGAGUUUAUGAUUCAAGGCUCAAUGAUAUCCUUGAUUUUAUAGACAGUUGUGGAUUAGCGACUAAAAGUUCU